CCUACGGGGGGCAGCAGUAGGGAAUCUUCCGCAAUGGACGAAAGUCUGACGGAGCAACGCCGCGUGAGCGAAGAAGGCCUUCGGGUCGUAAAGCUCUGUUGUUAGGGAAGAACAAGUAGCGCAGUAACUGGCGUUACCGUGACGGUACCUAACGAGAAAGCCACGGCUAACUACGUGCCAGCAGCCGCGGUAAUACGGAGGUGGCAAGCGUUGUCCGGAAUUAUUGGGCGUAAAGCGAGCGCAGGCGGUUCCUUAAGUCUGAUGUGAAAGCCCACGGCUCAACCGUGGAGGGGCAUUGGAAACGUGGGGACAUGAGUGCAGAAGAGGAGAGCGGAAUUCCACGUGGGGCGGUGAAAUGCGUGGGGGUGUGGUGGUACACCAGGGGCCAAGGCGGCUCUCUGGUCUGUAACUGACCCUGAGGGGUGAAAGCGUGGGGAGCAAACAGGAUUAGAUACCCUUGUAGUC
rnacentral:rRNA from 1 species